AGUGAACGCUGGCGGUAGGCCUAACACAUGCAAGUCGAACGGCAGCACAGUAAGAGCUUGCUCUUACGGGUGGCGAGUGGCGGACGGGUGAGGAAUACAUCGGAAUCUACUUUUUCGUGGGGGAUAGCGUAGGGAAACUUACGCUAAUACCGCAUACGACCUACGGGUGAAAGCAGGGGAUCUUCGGACCUUGCGCGAUUGAAUGAGCCGAUGUCGGAUUAGCUAGUUGGCGGGGUAAAGGCCCACCGAGGCGACGAUCCGUAGCUGGUCUGAGAGGAUGAUCAGCCACACUGGAACUGAGACACGGUCCAGACUCCUACGGGAGGCAGCAGUGGGGAAUAUUGGACAAUGGGCGCAAGCCUGAUCCAGCCAUACCGCGUGGGUGAAGAAGGCCUUCGGGUUGUAAAGCCCUUUUGUUGGGAAAGAAAAGCAGCAGGUUGAUACCCCGCUGUUCUGACGGUACCCAAAGAAUAAGCACCGGCUAACUUCGUG
rnacentral:rRNA from 1 species